UACGUAGGCAGCAAGCGUUGUUCGGAGUUACUGGGCGUAAAGGGGGCGUAGGCGGUUGUUUAAGUUUGGGGGGAAAUCUCCCGGCUCAACUGGGAGGGUGCGCCGAAUACUGAAUGACUAGAGUGCGGGAGAGGAGAGUGGAAUUCCUGGUGUAGCGGUGAAAUGCGUAGAUAUCAGGAGGAACACCGGUGGUGUAGACGGCUCUCUGGACCGUAACUGACGCUGAGGCACGAAAGCGUGGGUAGCAAACAGG
rnacentral:rRNA from 1 species